GAACCUUUGGCGCAGUGGUAGCGCGUGUGAUUCCAGAGCGCGACCUGUUUCGCAGGUUGCCUCGGGGUAUCCACAAGGUCAUCCGUUCAAAUCGGGUAAGGUUCA